ACGGCUCAGUAACACGUAGUCAACAUGCCCAGGGGACGUGGAUAACUUCGGGAAACUGAGGAUAAACCACGAUGAGUCACUACUUCUGGAAUGGGUAAUGACUGAAAUCUACAUGGCCCCUGGAUUGGACUGCGGCCGAUCAGGCUGUUGGUGAGGUAAUGGCCCACCAAACCUGUAACCGGUACGGGCUCUGAGAGGAGGAGCCCGGAGAUGGGCACUGAGACAAGGGCCCAGGCCCUAUGGGGCGCAGCAGGCGCGAAACCUCUGCAAUAGGCGAAAGCCUGACAGGGUUACUCUGAGUGAUUUCCGUUAAGGAGAUCUUUUGGCACCUCUAAAAAUGGUGCAGAAUAAGGGGUGGGCAAGUCUGGUGUCAGCCGCCGCGGUAAUACCAGCACCCCGAGUGGUCGGGACGUUUAUUGGGCCUAAAGCAUCCGUAGCCGGUUCUACAAGUCUUCCGUUAAAUCCACCUGCUCAACAGAUGGGCUGCGGAAGAUACUAUGGAGCUAGGAGGCGGGAGAGGCAAGCGGUACUCGAUGGGUAGGGGUAAAAUCCGUUGAUCCAUUGAAGACCACCAGUGGCGAAGGCGGCUUGCCAGAACGCGCUCGACGGUGAGGGAUGAAAGCUGGGGGAGCAAACCGGAUUAGAUACCCGGGUAGUCCCAGCUGUAAACGAUGCAGACUCGGUGAUGAAUUGGCUUCAUGCCAAUUCAGUGCCGCAGGGAAGCCGUUAAGUUUGCCGCCUGGGGAGUACGGUCGCAAGACUGAAACUUAAAGGAAUUGGCGGGGGAGCAC
rnacentral:rRNA from 1 species